GCACUGCUGACGAGUCCCAAAUAGGACGAAACCGCUUUCUAGUGC
rnacentral:hammerhead_ribozyme from 1 species